rnacentral:rRNA from 1 species
UACGUAGGCAGCGAGCGUUGUUCGGAGUUACUGGGCGUAAAGGGUGUGUAGGCGGUUGUUUAAGUUUGGUGUGAAAUCUCCCGGCUCAACUGGGAGGGUGCGCCGAAUACUGAAUGACUUGGAGUGCGGGAGAGGAGAGUGGAAUUCCUGGUGUAGCGGUGAAAUGCGUAGAUAUUGGGAGGAACACCAGUGGCGAAGGCGGCUACCUGGACCGGUGCUGACGCUGAUGCGCGAAAGCGUGGGGAGCAAACAGG